rnacentral:rRNA from 2 species
UUCCCCUAGUAACUGCGAGUGAAGCGGGAAAAGCUCAAAUUUAAAAUCUGGCGGUCUCUGGCCGUCCGAGUUGUAGUCUGGAGAAGUGCUUUCCGCGCCGGACCGUGUACAAGUCUCUUGGAACAGAGCGUCAUAGAGGGUGAGAAUCCCGUCUUUGACACGGACUACCGGUGCUUUGUGAUGCGCUCUCAAAGAGUCGAGUUGUUUGGGAAUGCAGCUCAAAAUGGGUGGUAAAUUCCAUCUAAAGCUAAAUAUUGGCGAGAGACCGAUAGCGAACAAGUACCGUGAGGGAAAGAUGAAAAGCACUUUGGAAAGAGAGUUAAACAGUACGUGAAAUUGCUGAAAGGGAAACACUUGAAGUCAGUCGCGUUGUCCAGAACUCAGCCUGGCAUUUUYUUGCCUGGUGCAUUUUCUGGUUCGACGGGCCAGCAUCAAUUUUGACCGUUGGAUAAAGGCCUCGGAAAUGUGGCACCUUCGGGUGUGUUAUAGUCCUUGGUCGCAUACAACGGUUGGGAUUGAGGAUCUCAGCAUGCCUUUAUGGUCGGGGUUCGCCCAC